UCGAAAGCUUGCUUUUGAUGGGCGUCGACCGGCGCACGGGUGAGUAACGCGUAUCCAACCUGCCCACCACUUGGGGAUAACCUUGCGAAAGUAAGACUAAUACCCAAUGAUAUCUCUAGAAGACAUCUGAAAGAGAUUAAAGAUUUAUCGGUGAUGGAUGGGGAUGCGUCUGAUUAGCUUGUUGGUGGGUAACGGCCCACCAAGGCGACGAUCAGUAGGGGUUCUGAGAGGAUGAACGGCCACAUUGGGACUGAGAUACGGCCCAGACUCC
rnacentral:rRNA from 1 species